GUCAAUGUCAAGACGUUUCUUUUGUUCUCGCCGAUUGUCUCCCAUAAACCUCAAUUUAAGAGAAGACCAAGAGAAAAAUGAACCUCACUUAAAUCCUCUCAACCAAGCUGAGUUAUAUCUGAAAAUAUGUAGGUUUGCUUUAUAUGUGUAUUUUGGCCGUGAAUAUGGAAUUACUCCUCUGCGUAUUAAGACCUGAGCUACUGUAACUCUUAGGUUUGGCCUGGGUCAGAAUGAUUGAUUAUGUACAUAGAUUGGUGAUUUUAAUUUUUUCUGAUAUUUGUUUGUUCUAUCUUAUCUCCCAGCUGAGUUAAAGGGUUUCAUUGGAUUUUUUUUUGUUAUUAUUAUUAUUAUUAUUAUUAUUAUUUGCAGCAUUGAAACUUCAUAAUUAUGAUUACUCGAUUGGUUUUCAACAUUCCAAGGUAUUGUUUUGCUCGAAGUGAUUAGUGAUGAAAUUUUAGUAUUGUUAUAUCGUCGUUAUGUCUUUUCUGUUCAGGUGGUCAAAUCUUCUUGAUCGAUUUGACCAUUUUUUCCAUAAAUUGAAUUUUAACUUGAAUUCCCACUUUUGAAUAUGCCCAAUUCUUAUCACACAAAAUUGUUCUGUGAAAACCAAUUUUUUAUUUAAUAGAUUGUUUGAUUGCAGGAACAUUUGUAUUAACCAAGGAGCAAUUCCUUUCUCCACUUCAAAAUGGGAUUUUGGGUGCAGUUUUACUAAUGGAAUAUGGAACUUCAAUUCAAUCCACCUCGCAAUUAGAGUCCAUAUUUUACAUGUAGUAAAACAUUGUUGGAUGCAAGCAUGCGGGGAGAAUUUAACGAGGUGGAAAUGAAGUUAUUGUUCAUAAUAUGUAUAUGUGGUCGUUGUUCUGAUCUGUUUAUGAGUCUUAUGAUAUGCUAAGUGAUUUCUAAUGGCAUCUCAACACCGGUAUAUGUCUCCCAAGAAAAAACCAAUUACCAGGUAUUUGAUUAUCAACUGGAUACCUGAAAAUGGCAAAGGGAAACCAUUUCAGAUUCAAGUUACGCUCAACUGUAACUGGAUGUGGUUGGCUUCAAGGAUACGAAAGAGGUUACCAGUUUGAAUUUGUUGCUCAACUGUAACUGGAUGUGGUUGGCUUCAAGGAUACGAAAGAGGUUACCAGUUUGAAUUUGUUGUUGCUCGACCCAAACGGAGUCUUGCGAUUUCUGAAACUUCACCAUUGCUCCCGGAAUUAGGUGCCUUGUUUGUUGAUUGAUGACUUUUUGAUUUUUAUCAGUAUGGAAUAUGAUGAGGGACAAUCUAAGUUAACAAUCAUUGUACAUGAAAGCAUUUUCUUGAUGAUCAAGAGAAAAUAUUAUUGUUUCCACCAGUUCGAUUCUUGCUUCGCCAGAAUCGCCACCUUUUUUCUCCGGCAGAUGUUGCACAUACCUUUACUUUUCCAGUGGGUAAAAGUCUAUAAAAUCCAAUGAUGCCAGGUUUGUGCCACAAAGCUGACUAAUUCAAGGAUUUGUGCAAAAGAUUGGUGGCUCGAGAUUAUUAAGCCAAUAGAAGAGGAGUCAGGAAGUACAACAAAAUUAAACCUCAAAGCGAUGUGUAAGACCACACGAGAAUCUUCAGACUUUAAAAAGCUUACCUCUCAAUUCAGAUAUAAAUGAAAAUGUAAUUGUAAGAAAUAUAUAAAAAUGAAAAAAAUAAUUUCAUUCAUGGCUAGAAUAAUAUUCUUCGCAGUUAAAAGGUUGUGUUGUGUAUCUGCACAUAUUAGAGUUAGAGUAAUGCAUUUUAUUAGGAACUAUCAACUGGGGGAUACAUGAAUUAGUUGGGGGAUUUUAAUGUAGCUGCCGGCAGCAUUGACCCUGCGGAUUUUAGAAUAUGGGUGAAAGAGCCUACAUUUGCGUAAAUUAAAGCUUAUGUAUUGCUUAAGCUAUGUGACAUGGUUUGAGCUUAUAUAUUCUUCACACAUGAUGCACCACGUUGUCAUAUUUGUAUGACAUUAUACCGUGAAUUAAAAUUAUUGUUGCAACAGAAAAAUAGUGUA